UUUGGGCCAUAAAGGUGUAAGUUAGUGCCUAAGAUCUUAAGCAUUAAAAAAAUGAGUAAUAAAAAUAAAAUACCUAAUAAAGAAAAGAAAUACAUGAUAUAUGCAACAAAAAAAUAAAGAGAAAAUGGGUAAACCAAGGAAAUAAAAAGUAGGGCAUUCGUAAAUAAAAGAAGUAGCCUAUGGUCAAAAGUUGGAUGGAAUAGAG
rnacentral:lncRNA from 1 species